UGAGGAAUAUUGGUCAAUGGACGCGAGUCUGAACCAGCCAAGUAGCGUGAAGGAUGACUGCCCUAUGGGUUGUAAACUUCUUUUAUAUGGGAAUAAAGUUGUCCACGUGUGGAUUUUUGUAUGUACCAUAUGAAUAAGGAUCGGCUAACUCCGUGCCAGCAGCCGCGGUAAUACGGAGGAUCCGAGCGUUAUCCGGAUUUAUUGGGUUUAAAGGGAGCGUAGGCGGAUUGUUAAGUCAGUUGUGAAAGUUUGCGGCUCAACCGUAAAAUUGCAGUUGAUACUGGCAGUCUUGAGUGCAGUAGAGGUGGGCGGAAUUCGUGGUGUAGCGGUGAAAUGCUUAGAUAUCACGAAGAACUCCGAUUGCGAAGGCAGCUCACUGGAGUGUAACUGACGCUGAUGCUCGAAAGUGUGGGUAUCAAACAGGAUUAGAUACCCUGGUAGUCCACACAGUAAACGAUGAAUACUCGCUGUUUGCGAUAUACAGUAAGCGGCCAAGCGAAAGCAUUAAGUAUUCCACCUGGGGAGUACGCCGGCAACGGUGAAACUCAAAGGAAUUGACGGGGGCCCGCACAAGCGGAGGAACAUGUGGUUUAAUUCGAUGAUACGCGAGGAACCUUACCCGGGCUUAAAUUGCACUCGAAUGAUCCGGAAACGGUUCAGCUAGCAAUAGCGAGUGUGAAGGUGCUGCAUGGUUGUCGUCAGCUCGUGCCGUGAGGUGUCGGCUUAAGUGCCAUAACGAGCGCAACCCUUGUUGUCAGUUACUAACAGGUGAUGCUGAGGACUCUGACAAGACUGCCAUCGUAAGAUGUGAGGAAGGUGGGGAUGACGUCAAAUCAGCACGGCCCUUACGUCCGGGGCUACACACGUGUUACAAUGGGGGGUACAGAGGGCCGCUACCACGCGAGUGGAUGCCAAUCCCUAAAACCCCUCUCAGUUCGGACUGGAGUCUGCAACCCGACUCCACGAAGCUGGAUUCGCUAGUAAUCGCGCAUCAGCCACGGCGCGGUGAAUACGUUCCC
rnacentral:rRNA from 1 species